AACGCUAGCUACAGGCUUAACACAUGCAAGUCGAGGGGUAACGAGAGGAAAGCUUGCUUUUCUUGUCGACGACCGGCGCACGGGUGAGUAACGCGUAUCCAACCUGCCCAUUACCACGGGAUACCCCGUCGAAAGGCGGCCUAAUACCGUAUGCAGUCGUCAGAUGACAUCAGAGGACGACGAAAGGAUUGGCGGUAAUGGAUGGGGAUGCGUCUGAUUAGGUAGUUGGAGGGGUAACGGCCCACCAAGCCAUCGAUCAGUAGGGGUUCUGAGAGGAAGGUCCCCCACAUUGGAACUGAGACACGGUCCAAACUCCUACGGGAGGCAGCAGUGAGGAAUAUUGGUCAAUGGGCGCGAGCCUGAACCAGCCAAGUAGCGUGAGGGAUGACGGCCCUAUGGGUUGUAAACCUCUUUUAUGCGGGAAUAAAAUGUUUGACGUGUCAUACAUUGUAGGUACCGCAAGAAUAAGGACCGGCUAAUUCCGUGCCAGCAGCCGCGGUAAUACGGAAGGUCCAGGCGUUAUCCGGAUUUAUUGGGUUUAAAGGGAGCGUAGGCCGCAAGUCAAGCGUGUUGUGAAAUGCAGGGGCUCAACCUCUGGAUUGCAGCGCGAACUGGCAUGCUUGAGUACGCACGAGGUAGGCGGAAUUUGUGGUGUAGCGGUGAAAUGCUUAGAUAUCACGAAGAACUCCGAUUG
rnacentral:rRNA from 1 species